rnacentral:rRNA from 1 species
AUAUCAGUAAGCGGAGGAAAAGAAACUAACUAGGAUUCCCUCAGUAACGGCGAGUGAAGCGGGAACAGCUCAAAUUUGGAAUCGAGGCGGCUUCCGCUUCGAAUUGUAAGUAAUAGGGUCGUAGUCGGUAGGCGCCGUCUUGACACAAGUCUGCUGGAACGCAGCAUCACAGAGGGUGACAAUCCCGUCGGUGGUCUUGACCGGUGCCUGCCAAUGAUGCGGCUUCGACGAGUCGGGUUGUUUGGGAAUGCAGCCCAAAAUGGGUGGUAUACUCCAUCUAAAGCUAAAUACAGGCGAGAGACCGAUAGCGAACAAGUACCGUGAGGGAAAGAUGAAAAGAACUUUGGAAAGAGAGUUAAAAGUGC